rnacentral:rRNA from 9 species
UAGGGAAUCUUCGGCAAUGGACGAAAGUCUGACCGAGCAACGCCGCGUGAGUGAAGAAGGUUUUCGGAUCGUAAAACUCUGUUGUUAGAGAAGAACAAGGACGUUAGUAACUGAACGUCCCCUGACGGUAUCUAACCAGAAAGCCACGGCUAACUACGUGCCAGCAGCCGCGGUAAUACGUAGGUGGCAAGCGUUGUCCGGAUUUAUUGGGCGUAAAGCGAGCGCAGGCGGUUUCUUAAGUCUGAUGUGAAAGCCCCCGGCUCAACCGGGGAGGGUCAUUGGAAACUGGGAGACUUGAGUGCAGAAGAGGAGAGUGGAAUUCCAUGUGUAGCGGUGAAAUGCGUAGAUAUAUGGAGGAACACCAGUGGCGAAGGCGGCUCUCUGGUCUGUAACUGACGCUGAGGCUCGAAAGCGUGGGGAGCAAACAGG